ACUCAGGCCCCCUUCUCAGACUCAGGUAAGUUCCUCUCGUGUGCCUUCCUUUGGUGCUUGCUGUUUGUGUCUGUGCACGUAAUACAUGGCAGCAUAGAAGGUAAAGUCUUCCACCAUCUAACUGUGAUAGAUUCCAUUUAAAGAUUAAUGAAAUAGAUAUAAUCAUUUGUUCAGCAUUGACUGGUUUGUUUGUUUGUGAUAUUUGCUUUAGGGGCAAGUAACGAAGAACCAGAUUUCCUCUCUAUACUCAGUGGAUAGGGGAGAAAAGCCACAUCCCUGUCAUCACAGGAUCACAGAGGCUGAGUCUUGCUAUGUCGAUGAAGCUGGUCUCAAACUAUUGGGCUUAAGCAAUUCUCCUCCUUUAGUCACCAGAAUAGCUGGGACUACAGAUGCCUGCUACUAUACCCAGCUGACGGUACUGACUAUUACUGCAACUUUUUUGUAGGUAAUUUAGCAACAUAAAUUUAAGCCCCAGGCAUUUUACAUACUGUUUACUCCAGAUAUUUCCCCGAUAGAAUUAAGAAUGCUCACAAAGAUGAAACUACAUGGUUGCUCUUUUCCGUAUAUAAAAGCAAAAAAUUUGUAAGAACAAAAAUAUCCAAAUUAUAAAAGGUUUUGCCUAGUAAUUAACACUUUGUACUAGUGUUUAAGUUGGUUAAGAAAUAUUGCCUUGGCGGGGCGCGGUGGCUCAAGCCUGUAAUCCCAGCACUUUGGGAGGCUGAGAUGGGCGGAUCACGAGGUCAGGAGAUUGAGACCAUCCUGGCUAAUACGGUGGUCUAAUACGGUGAAACCCCGUUUCUACUAAAAAAUACAAAAAAUUAGCCGGGCGAGGUGGCGGGCGCCUGUAGUCCCAGCUACUUGAGAGGCUGAGGCAGGAGAAUGGCCUGAACCCGGGAGGCGGAGCUUGCAGUGAGCUGAGAUCCGGCCACUGCACUCCAGCCUGGGCGACAGAGCAAGACUCCGUCUCAAAAAAAAAAAAAAAAAAAGAAAAGAAAUAUUGCCUUUCAGUGGACUAAAUAGUUCCUUAGGACUGGCUUUUAAAAUAUUAUUUUAAUUUAGUAAAACAAACUUUUUGAGUGCCUAUUAUAAAAUAUAAACCCAACUAGACUUGAGAGCCAUGGAGCAUAAUUCCUAACCUCAAGAAACUGAGU
rnacentral:lncRNA from 1 species